UGUGAAUUGGUGAUAGAUUGUUUAAAUCAUCACACUGGAAGUCAUUUUCUCAGCAGAGAUUCCAUUCACCAGAAUGAGUGACCUCUGCCAAGUAAUCAAGUCAAUGCAUUUCUCAUAAAAAGUAUUACUUCUAAAAUUGCUAAGACGACAUUGCCCUGAAUGCAUGACAAAGUUAUUGAAUUUCCUCUGUUAUGCUGUCAAGCAACAUUUACCUUAUUCCAAGGUACAUUUAAAUUGAAUCCUUUUCCUUUUCCCUGACCAACAGCAUCAUAAUCAGAUUCUCUGAGCAAGGGCCAGAACUGCUGAUGUUCAUAGCGAUGCCAGGAGUAAUAGAGAACACUGCAAGAAAGAAGAAACAAACCCAACUGAAACAAAAGUUAUGAAGGAUCUUUUCAUAUCUGAUCCUCUCUGGCUCAUUUCACAGAAAGCAUGAAAAUAGGCCUUAAGUAGCAAAUAUUCCUCAUCUUUCUCUCCACUAAUAUCUCUGAACAAACUGGCAUCCACUUACUUGAAAAGCUCUGCAUACUCUAGCACAACAGUCAAAUUCAGCUAGGGCACUUUUGCUGUAAGUUUCUGGCAUAGACUCCUCUAGGGCCAGAGAAAAGGAAUUUUCAAAAGAGGGGUUUUGCUGAUGGGCUCAAAGUUUGUAGCUUUCAGAAAACCGCGUAGAACACAUUUGCCUAGACCAACUGUUCACUGAAUAUUUGGAUAGUGGUGCGGAGAGAGCUUUCUAUCAGCAAACAAAGGUAGUCACAGGGCUCAUAUUGUGUCAGUUUUUCUAGAGUAGACUUAGAAAUUACUUUUAAUUAGGUUUAAAGGUUUGUUUCACUUUGUUUGACAAAUGAGAAUAAAUAAAUACAGUUUCAGAGAGAAUGAAGUACCUAAAAGAAUGAGAGACAUUUUGUAGGAAUUUCCAUUUUCAAAGUAAGAAGGGUUUUAUUCUACAGAGAGGUGACCAAAUUAAACCAACUUGACAUGCAAAAAAAAAAAGUUUACAAACCUGGGAUCCUCUUCAAAUACAUAUUGAAUUCCUUGUCCAUGGUGCACAUCCCAGUCAACAAUGAGAAUUCUGUAUGAAUCAAAAAGAAAUAUUCACUAGAAGAACCACAGCAA